AAGGAUCAUUAAAAGAUAUGGCAUAUUCCAUGUGAAUAUACCCAAUCAACCCAUUCUGAGUACCUUACCUGUUGCUUUCACACAGCGUCUGCGCUCUUUUGUGUAGACAUCCAAACUGACAUUAACUUGUUGGCUUUGGACAUGUGUGAAAGGUAUACAUCAAACUCUUGCAUUGCCAUGUAUUCUGUCUGAUUAUGUUUAAUACAAAAAUAUUAAAACUUUCAACAACGGAUCUCUUGGUUCUC
rnacentral:misc_RNA from 1 species